CUUUUGAGGUGAAUCUACUCAUCUACAUUUUGAUAUUGAAUGUGAUAUUUUGUAACAUGUAUAAUUUUACAUUUUUUCACCAAAAAAAAAAAAACAAGGUAAACUUCUUAAUUCAAGUUUAAACAAACUUUCUUGUAAUAACUAAUAUAUAUUCAUCCGUUUCCUACAAACUAAAGUUAGCUGGUGAGGAAUGAGGAUCAUUGUAUAUAUAUCUUGUUCUUUGAUCUUAUAUUUCUAAAAUACUCAUCAUGAAUGAAAAUGAGAUUAUAUAUACGACUAGGGUUUAAUCAGGGAUUACAACUUACAAUUCAAAUUAACUGUCUUGUGUUUCAUUUCUUGCACGCACUUAUGUAUGGGGGCCGGGAUCCCAGCUGGGACUCUGUCUGCUUCUUCAUCGAGCUGGAGCUAGCUGGUGUUGACAUUCGCAGUAAACCAUGAACAGAUUAGAACAACCGGAGAAGUUUUACGUGGAACACCUAUAGAUCAUACAUAUUCACUUCAAAGCCCCGGCCGGCGGCGAGUGGCCUGGCCGCCACUUUAGCUAACUUACAUGAGAGGCUGAUCCGAUGAUACUUUAGCCAACUUCAUUUUGCAACACGCACUGAUCGAAUAGUAAUAAGAAAAAUGCAGCGAUUAAUGCUUGUUAGUUUGGUGGGUUACAUAAUUGAAUGGAAACAUAAAAAAGUCAAAGUUUGAUCUAUAUUUGGAAGUCAAUGAGCUAGCUAAAGCUCUUUGCAUUAUUAGAAAGGGUAGUGCUAUAGGGCCUUAAUAAGGCUUAAGAUUUAUGAUUUUAAUCUUAUGUGGCAUGUCAUGUCACAUAGACACAUCAUCAAUUUAAUAAAUCAUGUCAUUUUAUUCUUAGGUAAUACAAUCUUAACCUUAAUAAUUAAUAGAUGCGCUACGUACAUACUAAUAUGGAAUAUUUUCUUACCUAUUUAAUCUGGAUGCGUAUAUACCAAAUUUAAUUAAUUUAUUUAUAAUAAUGACCAAGUUAAUAAUCAUACCAAAUUAGGCUUUUAUACCAUAAAUCAAUUUCAUAAAUUUAUGAAAAUUU
rnacentral:lncRNA from 1 species